rnacentral:tRNA from 1 species
GGCCCCAUAGCUCAGUCUGGUUAGAGCGCCGGUCUUAUAAGCCGGAGGUCCGGAGUUCAAAAUCAUCGAUGAAAGUCUCCGUGGGGCCA